rnacentral:rRNA from 1 species
CAGCAGCCGCGGUAAUACGAAGGGGGCUAGCGUUGCUCGGAAUGACUGGGCGUAAAGGGUGCGUAGGCGGCGAUCAAAGUCAGGCGUGAAAUUCCUGGGCUCAACCUGGGGGCUGCGCUUGAUACUUGGUUGCUUGAGUGGGGAAGAGGGUCGUGGAAUUCCCAGUGUAGAGGUGAAAUUCGUAGAUAUUGGGAAGAACACCGGUGGCGAAGGCGGCGACCUGGUCCUUGACUGACGCUGAGGCGCGAAAGCGUGGGGAGCAAACAGGAUUAGAUACCCGAGUAGUCCCUGUCUCUUAUAC